rnacentral:rRNA from 1 species
AUUGAACGCUAGCGGGAUGCUUUACACAUGCAAGUCGAACGAGUGGCGGACGGGUGAGUAAUAUAUCGGAACGUGCCCAGUAGCGGGGGAUACUACCCGAAAACGUGGCUAAUUCCGCAUUCUAUUCAGACGGCCGCUAUGGGAUUAGCUAGUUGGUGGGGUAAAGGCUCAACAAGGCAACGAUCCGUAGCUGGUUUGAGAGGACGACCAGCCACACUGGGACUGAGACACGGCCCAGACUCCUACGGGAGGCAGCAGUGGGGAAUUUUGGACAAUGGGGGAAACCCUGAUGCAGCCAUCCCGCGUGUAUGAGAAGGCCUUCGGGUUGUAAAGUACUUUUGGCAGAGAAGCGGUAUCUGCAGAAUAAGCACCGGCUAACUACGUGCCAGCAGCCGCGGUAAUAC